AGAGUUUGAUCCUGGCUCAGAAUCAACGCUGGCGGCGUGCCUAACACAUGCAAGUCGAGCGGCAGCGGGCCCGCAAGGGUGCCGGCGAGCGGCGGACGGGUGAGCAAUACAUAGGAAUCUGCCUUAGAGCGGGGGAUAGCCCGGGGAAACCCGGAUUAAUACCGCAUGAUGUCGAGAGACCAAAGUGGGGGACCGUAAGGCCUCACACUCUGAGAUGAGCCUAUGUCGGAUUAGCUAGUUGGCGGGGUAACGGCCCACCAAGGCGACGAUCCGUAGCUGGUCUGAGAGGACGAUCAGCCACACCGGAACUGAGACACGGUCCGGACUCCUACGGGAGGCAGCAGUGGGGAAUAUUGGACAAUGGGCGAAAGCCUGAUCCAGCGACGCCGCGUGGGGUGAAGAAGGCCUUCGGGUUGUAAAGCCCUUUAAGCCGGGACGAAAAAAUCGGCGAUAACAUCGCCGGUCUUGACGGUACCGGAAGAAUAAGCACCGGCUAACUCUGUGCCAGCAGCCGCGGUAAUACAGAGGGUGCAAGCGUUAAUCGGAUUUACUGGGCGUAAAGCGUGAGUAGGUGGCUCGCUAAGUCGAUUGUGAAAGCCCUGGGCUCAACCUGGGAAUUGCAGUCGAUACUGGAGAGCUAGAGUUCGGUAGAGGGUGACGGAAUUCCCGGUAGCGGUGAAAUGCGUAGAUAUCGGGAGGAACAUCGAUGGCGAAGGCAAUCACCUGGGCCUGAACUGACACUGAGACACGAAAGCGUGGGUAGCAAACAGGAUUAGAUACCCUAGUAGUCC
rnacentral:rRNA from 1 species